UUUAAUUAAUUACUUAAGCUUAUAAGAAACGGGGGAACCAUAAUCUGGGGCUAAUUUUCAUUGUUAAUCUGUGAAAAAGAACAACUCUCAGUUCUAGUCCGUCAGCUAACUCCGUAGGCAUUGAGAGUGGACUG
rnacentral:sRNA from 2 species